rnacentral:rRNA from 1 species
UGGGGAAUUCUUGGGACAAUGGGCGAAAGCCUGAUCCAGCAAUGCCGCGUGUGUGAAGAAGGCCUUCGGGUUGUAAAGCACUUUUUGUCCGGAAAGAAAUCCUUGGCUCUAAUACAGUCGGGGGAUGACGGUACCGGAAGAAUAAGCACCGGCUAACUACGUGCCAGCAGCCGCGGUAAUACGUAGGGUGCAAGCGUUAAUCGGAAUUACUGGGCGUAAAGCGUGCGCAGGCGGUUUGCUAAGACCGAUGUGAAAUCCCCGGGCUCAACCUGGGAACUGCAUUGGUGACUGGCAGGCUAGAGUAUGGCAGAGGGGGGUAGAAUUCCACGUGUAGCAGUGAAAUGCGUAGAGAUGUGGAGGAAUACCGAUGGCGAAGGCAGCCCCCUGGGCCAAUACUGACGCUCAUGCACGAAAGCGUGGGGAGCAAAACAGGAUUAGAUACCCUGGUAGUCCACGCCCUAAAACGAUGUCAACUAGUUGUUGGGGAUUCAUUUCCUUAGUAACGUAGCUAACGCGUGAAGUUGACCGCCUGGGGGAGUACGGUCGCAAGAUU